rnacentral:rRNA from 1 species
ACUCCUACGGGAGGCAGCAGUGGGGAAUAUUGCACAAUGGGGGAAACCCUGAUGCAGCCAUGCCGCGUGUGUGAAGAAGGCCUUGGGUUGUAAAGCACUUUCAGUAGGGAGGAAGGUAGUGUAGUUAACACCUGCACUAUUUGACGUUACCUACAGAAGAAGCACCGGCUAACUCCGUGCCAGCAGCCGCGGUAAUACGGAGGGUGCGAGCGUUAAUCGGAAUUACGUGGGCGUAAAGCGCAUGCAGGCGGCCUGUUAAGUCAGAUGUGAAAGCCCGGGGCUUAACCUCGGAAUUGCAUUUGAAACUGGCAGGCUAGAGUCUUGUAGAGGGGUUAGAAUUUCAGGUGUAGCGGUGAAAUGCGUAGAGAUCUGAAGGAAUACCAGUGGCGAAGGCGGCCCCUGGACAAAGACUGACGCUCAGAUGCGAAAGCGUGGGAGCAAACAGGAUUAGAUACCCCUGGU